UGGGUAGGGCUUCACACGUCAUACAAUGGUACGGUACAGAGGGUUGCCAAGCCGCGAGGUGGAGCCAAUCCCUUAAAGCCGAUCGUAGUCCGGAUCGUAGUCUGCAACUCGACUACGUGAAGUCGGAAUCGCUAGUAAUCGCAGAUCAGCAUGCUGCGGUAGAAUACCGGUUCCCGGGUCUU
rnacentral:rRNA from 1 species